rnacentral:rRNA from 1 species
AGAUUGAACGCUGGCGGAAUGCUUUACACAUGCAAGUCGAACGGCAGCACGGGACUCAGGCAACUGAGCCCUGGUGGCGAGUGGCGAACGGGUGAGUAACAUAUCGGAACGUACCCAGUCGUGGGGGGAUAACUCUCCGAAAGGAGAGCUAAUACCGCAUACGUCCUGAGGGAGAAAGCGGGGGACCUGCAAGGGCCUCGCGCGAUUGGAGCGGCCGAUAUCGGAUUAGCUAGUUGGUGGGGUAAAGGUUCACCAAGGCGACGAUCCGUAGCGGGUCUGAGAGGACGACCCGCCACACUGGAACUGAGACACGGUCCAGACUCCUACGGGAGGCAGCAGUGGGAAUUUGGACAAUGGGGGCAACCUGAUCCAGCCAUUCCGCGUGAGUGAAGAAGGCCUUCGGGUGUAAGCUCUUUCUAGCAGGAACGAAACGGUACGGCUUUAAUAAAGUACGGCUAAUGACGUAACCGUGUCAGAAGAAGACACCGGACUAACUAACGUGACCAGCAGCCGCGGUAACUCUA